UAAAACAAUUAUAAAAGUGAUCUAGCAGUCAGUGCUCAAAGGACAUCAAAAUCAUCCGGAUCGUCGUCGAAAAGAAAAUUCAUUCCUCUUCAGGGAAAAUAGUCCGGUGAAUCAAACACAGAUGAGUACGACGAGGCGGGAAACCAUAACUGAAAAAACUCUGGGUCCUAGGCAACGUAAAGGCUGAUUCCCUCUGAGAACCGGCA
rnacentral:lncRNA from 1 species